AACAAUGUGGUUCUGCGCAAGCAUCACAAAUUAGCGCGGGCUUUAGCUUUACCCUGCCAGUGGUGUGUGUGAGGACCUGUGUGGGUGCCCCUGCAGGUGUGGAGGCCCCCCUGCCGCGCCCCCUUCACCCCCGUCAGCAUCAGCCGAGGUAGCCCAGGACAAUGGUAGGGUUUCCCCGGUCCACUGGUGCUCACCUCUGCUGGGUGACCCCCGGGCCACAGCUGUCCCCUGCCAGCUGCCCUUUGAAGGUCAAGUGGCCCUGGCGACGGUGAAGGAGCCUCCAGGAUGACCAGCAUAGGAGUACUACCCAGCCGACGAGUGUGAGGCGCGGCGCGGCGGGACAGGACGCUGGAAGGAAAGUCUUGGAGCUAUGGAACGGGUGGGGUUUGGGAGAAAAAUGAAGGGAAUCCACUACAAGGAUGUUGAAAAUUCACGAAGGGCGGCAUGGAGUGAAAGGUUUUGAG